rnacentral:rRNA from 1 species
GACGAACGCUGGCGGCGUGCUUAACACAUGCAAGUCGAGCGGUAAGGCCCUUUCGGGGGUACACGAGCGGCGAACGGGUGAGUAACACGCGGGUGACCUGCCCUCAGCUCUGGGAUAAGCCCGGGAAACUGGGUCUAAUACUGGAUAUGACUCCAUGACGCAUGUUGUGGGGUGGAAAGCCUUGUGCGGCUGGGGAUGGGCCCGCGGCCUAUCAGCUUGUUGGUGGGGUGAUGGCCUACCAAGGCGACGACGGGUAGCCGGCCUGAGAGGGCGACCGGCCACACUGGGACUGAGACACGGCCCAGACUCCUACGGGAGGCAGCAGUGGGGAAUCUUGCGCAAUGGGCGAAAGCCUGACGCAGCGACGCCGCGUGA